AUCCGAGUGCUGGAAUUGGUAGACAGGGCGAGCUUAAGAUUCGCUGAUUUAUCGUCGUAAACGUUCAAGUCGUUUUUCGGAUA
rnacentral:tRNA from 1 species